rnacentral:rRNA from 1 species
CUGAACCAGCCAAGUAGCGUGCAGGAUGACGGCCCUAUGGGUUGUAAACUGCUUUUAUAUGGGAAUAAAGUGAGGGACGUGUCCCUUAUUGCAUGUACCAUACGAAUAAGGACCGGCUAAUUCCGUGCCAGCAGCCGCGGUAAUACGGAAGGUCCAGGCGUUAUCCGGAUUUAUUGGGUUUAAAGGGAGCGUAGGCUGUUUGUUAAGCGUGUUGUGAAAUGUAGGAGCUCAACUUUUAGAUUGCAGCGCGAACUGGCAGACUUGAGUGCGCACAACGUAGGCGGAAUUCAUGGUGUAGCGGUGAAAUGCUUAGAUAUCAUGACGAACUCCGAUUGCGAAGGCAGCUUACGGGAGCGCAACUGACGCUAAAGCUCGAAGGUGCGGGUAUCGAACAGGAUUAGAUACCCUGGUAGUCCGCACAGUAAACGAUGGAUGCCCGCUGUUAGCACCUAGUGUUAGCGGCUAAGCGAAAGCAUUAAGCAUCCCACCUGGGGAGUACGCCGGCAACGGUGAAACUCAAAGGAAUUGACGGGGGCCCGCACAAGCGGAGGAACAUGUGGUUUAAUUCGAUGAUACGCGAGGAACCUUACCCGGGCUUGAAUUGCAGAUGUUUAUAUCAGAGAUGAUAUAUUCCCUUCGGGGCAUUUGUGAAGGUGCUGCAUGGUUGUCGUCAGCUCGUGCCGUGAGGUGUCGGCUUAAGUGCCAUAACGAGCGCAACC